AGCCAGACUCCUACGGGAGGCAGCAGUGGGGAAUAUUGCACAAUGGGGGAAACCCUGAUGCAGCGACGCCGCGUGAGUGAAGAAGUAUUUCGGUAUGUAAAGCUCUAUCAGCAGGGAAGAAAAUGACGGUACCUGAUUAAGAAGCCCCGGCUAACUACGUGCCAGCAGCCGCGGUAAUACGUAGGGGGCAAGCGUUAUCCGGAUUUACUGGGUGUAAAGGGAGCGUAGACGGUGAUGCAAGUCAGAAGUGAAAGCCCGGGGCUCAACUCCGGGACUGCUUUUGAAACUGUGUGACUGGAGUGCAGGAGAGGUAAGCGGAAUUCCUGGUGUAGCGGUGAAAUGCGUAGAUAUCAGGAGGAACACCAGUGGCGAAGGCGGCUUACUGGACUGUAACUGACGUUGAGGCUCGAAAGCGUGGGGAGCAAACAGGAUUAGAUACCCCGGUA
rnacentral:rRNA from 1 species